AGCUUUGCACAGUGGCAGUAUCAUAGCCGAUGAGUUUUAUCCAAGGCACAAUUAUUGCUAAUUGAAAACUUUUCCCAAUACCCUGCCAUAACAACUUGUAAUACAGUCAGCAUUGGCAAUUUUUGAUGGUCUCUUCAGAGA
rnacentral:snRNA from 1 species